GGCGAACGGGUGAGGAACACGUGAGGAAUCUGCCUUCAACACUGGGAUAACUCCGGGAAACCGGGGCUAAUACCGGAUACGAGCCUUGAUCGCAUGAUCGGGGCUGGAAAGUUUUUCGGUUGAAGAUGACCUCGCGGCCUAUCAGCUUGUUGGUGAGGUAAUGGCUCACCAAGGCGACGACGGGUAGCCGGCCUGAGAGGGCGACCGGCCACACUGGGACUGAGACACGGACCAGACUCCUACGGGAGGCAGCAGUGAGGAAUAUUGGGCAAUGGAGGCAACUCUGACCCAGCCAUGCCGCGUGCAGGAAGACGGUCCUCUGGAUUGUAAACUGCUUUUAUUAGGGAAUAAACCCUCCUACGUGUAGGAGGCUGAAGGUACCUGAUGAAUAAGCAUCGGCUAACUCCGUGCCAGCAGCCGCGGUAAUACGGAGGAUGCAAGCGUUAUCCGGAUUUAUUGGGUUUAAAGGGUCCGUAGGCGGAUAUUUAAGUCAGUGGUGAAAGCCCACAGCUCAACUGUGGAACUGCCAUUGAUACUGGAUGUCUUGAGUAUAGUAGAAGUAGGCGGAAUAGGGCAUGUAGCGGUGAAAUGCAUAGAUAUGCCCUAGAACACCGAUUGCGAAGGCAGCUUACUAUGUUAUAACUGACGCUGAGGGACGAAAGCGUGGGGAGCAAACAGGAUUAGAUACCCUGGUAGUCCACGCCGUAAACGAUGAUUACUCGCUGCUGGCGAUAUACAGUCAGUGGCCAAGCGAAAGCAUUAAGUAAUCCACCUGGGGAGUACGCCGGCAACGGUGAAACUCAAAGGAAUUGACGGGGGCCCGCACAAG
rnacentral:rRNA from 1 species